CAUGCAGUCGAACGGGCUCUUCGGAGCUAGUGGCGGACGGGUGAGUAACACGUGGGAACGUGCCUUUAGGUUCGGAAUAAGCCCGGGAAACUGGGUCUAAUACCGGAUGUGCCCUUCGGGGGAAAGAUUUAUCGCCUUUAGAGCGGCCCGCGUCUGAUUAGCUAGUUGGUGGUGUAAUGAACCACCAAGGCUACGAUCAGUAGCUGGUCUGAGAGGAUGACCAGCCACAUUGGGACUGAGACACGGCCCAAACUCCUACGGGAGGCAGCAGUGGGGAAUCUUACGCAAUGGGCGAAAGCCUGACGCAGCCAUGCCGCGUGUAUGAUGAAGGUCUUAGGAUUGUAAAAUACUUUCACCGGUGAAGAUAAUGACUGUAGCCGGAGAAGAAGCCCCGGCUAACUUCGUGCCAGCAGCCGCGGUAAUACGAAGGGGGCUAGCGUUGCUCGGAAUUACUGGGCGUAAAGGGAGCGUAGGCGGACAUUUAAGUCAGGGGUGAAAUCCCAGAGCUCAACUCUGGAACUGCCUUUGAUACUGGGUGUCUUGAGUGUGAUAGAGGUAUGUGGAACUCCGAGUGUAGGGGUGAAAUUCGUAGAUAUUCGGAAGAACACCAGUGGCGAAGGCGACAUACUGGAUCAUUACUGACGCUGAGGCUCGAAAGCGUGGGGAGCAAACAGGAUUAGAUACCCUGGUAGUCCACGCCGUAAACGAUGAUUGCUAGUUGUCGGGGUGUUUACAUCUCGGUGACGCAGCUAACGCAUUAAGCAAUCCGCCUGGGGAGUACGGUCGCAAGAUUAAAACUCAAAGGAAUUGACGGGGGCCCGCACAAGCGGUGGAGCAUGUGGUUUAAUUCAAGCAACGCGCAGAACCUUACCACCUUUUGACAUGCCUGGACCGCCGAAGAUCUGGCUUUCCCUUGGGACUAGACACGGUGCUGCAUGGCUGU
rnacentral:rRNA from 1 species